CUGGCACAGUUUUGUUUGAGAGGGCGGAACAAAACUGAAGGAAAUCAAGACUGAGGAAAACUGAGGAAGAGCGAAGAGGCCACAGUCUGAGUCCAGCCUUCAUAUCAGGACUGAAGUUCUGCUGUUCACCUUUGGCCUCCCCCCCUUUUGCACCAAACACGCCAGGAUCUUUUCGUGGAUUCCAGAUGUCAUGGCAACAGCAUGACAGUACCCUCAAGCCCACGCAGUAAUCGUCACUGAUGAGCAUGACUGUGCCCCAGUGCACAAAGCAAAGCUCCAUAAAGACAUGGUUGGAUGAG